GACAGAGGGGGCAAGCGUUGUUCGGAAUUACUGGGCGUAAAGGGCGCGUAGGCGGCCUGCUAAGUCGAACGUGAAAUCCCCGGGCUCAACCCGGGAACUGCGUCCGAUACUGGCAGGCUUGAAUCCGGGAGAGGGAUGUGGAAUUCCAGGUGUAGCGGUGAAAUGCGUAGAUAUCUGGAGGAACACCGGUGGCGAAGGCGGCAUCCUGGACCAACACUGACACUGAGGAGCGAAAGCCAGGGGAGCAAACGGG
rnacentral:rRNA from 1 species